GACGAACGCUGGCGGCGUGCCUAAUACAUGCAAGUCGAACGAAGCUUUUUUAACUGGUGCUUGCACCGACUUAAACAACUGAGUGGCGAACGGGUGAGUAACACGUGGGUAACCUGCCCCAAAGCGGGGGAUAACAUUUGGAAACAGAUGCUAAUACCGCAUAACCACAGAAACCACAUGGUUUCUGUGUCAAAGAUGGUUUCGGCUAUCACUUUGGGAUGGACCCGCGGCGUAUUAGCUAGUUGGUAAGGUAAUGGCUUACUAAGGCAAUGAUACGGAGCCGAACUGAUAGGUUGAUCGGCCACAUUGGGACUGAAACACGGCCCAAACGCCCGCGGGAGGCAGCAGUAGGGAAUCUUCCACAAUGGACGAAAGUCUGAUGGAGCUACGCCGCGUGAGUGAAGAAGGUUUUCGGAUCGUAAAACUCUGUUGUCAGAGAAGAACGUGUGCGAGAGUAACUGUUCGUGCAGUGACGGUAUCUGGCCAGAAAGCCACGGCUAACUACGUGCCAGCCGCCGCAGUAA
rnacentral:rRNA from 1 species